rnacentral:rRNA from 1 species
AUUGGACGCUGGCGGCAUGCUUUACACAUGCAAGUCGAACGGUAACAGGUUAAGCUGACGAGUGGCGAACGGGUGAGUAAUGCGUCGGAACGUGCCCGGUCGUGGGGGAUAACGCAGAGAAAGCUGCGCUAAUACCGCAUACGAUCUGAGGAUGAAAGCGGGGGACCGUAAGGCCUCGCGCGAUCGGAGCGGCCGAUGUCAGAUUAGGUAGUUGGUGGGGUAAAGGCUCACCAAGCCAACGAUCUGUAGCUGGUCUGAGAGGACGACCAGCCACACUGGGACUGAGACACGGCCCAGACUCCUACGGGAGGCAGCAGUGGGGAAUUUUGGACAAUGGGCGAAAGCCUGAUCCAGCAAUGCCGCGUGCAGGAAGAAGGCCUUCGGGUUGUAAACUGCUUUUGUACGGAGCGAAAAGGUCUCCUCUAAUACAGGGGGCUCAUGACGGUACCGUAAGAAUAAGCACCGGCUAACUACGUGCCAGCAGCCGCCGUAA